rnacentral:lncRNA from 1 species
UGGAAAUUGGCCUCCAAGACAGUUGUAAGGCUCCCCAGAGAAUUUUUUGGAACCUGCAUCUCUGGGUGCGGUGUGAUGUCACUUUUUAGUGUUUCUAGGCAUUGUGCCAAAACUCAGUUUCAGGAAAAUAAUUGCAAAAAUGUUUAAAUAAUUUGCAUGAGGUUUGUGAAAGCUAAGGAAAAGCUGCCUGUUCCAUUCCCAAAGGAGAUUUCAAGACACAAUCAAUGUUAGGCCGCAAAAACACUGUUUAGACAGAAUAAUUAUCAGCCCUUUCCCUUCUCUUUCAUUAUUAAACUGAGGCUUAUUCCCUCUGAGGGUUUCACCUGGCAUAUGGAAAGACUGUUGUUGCUAAGUCCCCUUUAUGGAUGUUCAAACAGGCUAAGCAAAUUUAUAGAGUUUACUAAAUUCAUUCAUGGACAUGAUUUGACAUGAAGUUGCUUCUGUGUCAUGAUUAGCUUUUUUGUUUCUAUUCAUGUUAUAAUCAAGUAUGAUGGAAUUAUAUAGAAUGGUUCCAAACUACAUGGAGAAUUCUUGAAAAUAUAUCCCAAUGCUGAGUUCAUUUCAGUCAUUGUUGGCACCUUAAAACUGAGCUCAAAGAACCCGAAGUGACAGGAUCAUCAAAACAACACACAGAAGGAUGCAGUGGGUGGAAUAGUAUUAAGACAAAAAAGUGAAGUCAUGUUUAAAUUGUGUUACAGCUAUCAAUGCCCAAGUUACAGUACAGUUAUUUCUUUAGGGAACUACUCAAAGUAUUGUUUGAGUGGAAUUAAAGUUAUUUUCACAGAGAUUCUUAAAAUGACAUCUUGUGAUUUAAAGAGACAUGGUACUCUUCAUAUCGUAGUUUAUUGAUUUUGACAGCUCAGGAAUGACAUUGAAUAACUGGCACAACUUAUUCUUGCCCCUCUCCUUAUACUGCCUAUUCAAACCACUCUGUGCAACUAGUUUUUCCUCUGCCUUGUCUGUGGAAGGCAGUAUUAUGUAAAUAGGUAGGUAGAUAAUUGCAUAUAUAUGCUUAGCUAACAAAAAGUCUUUGGACACUUACAAUCUAAACAGACUUAUGCUACUAAUUAAUGCCUGCUAAGUCGCUUCAGUCGUGUCCGACUCUGUGCAACCCCAUAGAUGG